rnacentral:sRNA from 1 species
UCCGUAGGUGAACCUGCGGAAGGAUCAUUCAUAAUCAAGUGUUUUUAUGGCACUUUCAAAAAUCCAUAUCCACCUUGUGUGCAAUGUCAUCUCACUGGAGGUCAACGGCUGUAAAAAUCCGUUGGUCACCUUUGGGAUUUAUAUCUACUCAGAACUUUAGUGAUUUUGUCUGAAACAUAUUAUGAAUACUUAAUUCAAAAUACAACUUUCAACAACGGAUCUCUUGGCUCUCGCAUCGAUGAAGAACGCAGCGAAAUGCGAUACGUAAUGUGAAUUGCAGAAUUCAGUGAAUCAUCGAAUCUUUGAACGCAUAUUGCGCCCUCUGGUAUUCCGGAGAGCAUGCUUGUUUGAGUAUCAGUAAACACCUCAACUCCCCUUUCUUUUUUGAAAUGGGAGCUGGACUUGAGUGAUCCCAACGCUUUUCUCACCGAAAAGUGGCGGGUUACUUGAAAUGCAGGUGCAGCUGGACUUUUCUCUGAGCUAAAAGCAUAUCUAUUUAGUCUGCCUAAAAAACAGAUUAUUACCUUUGCUGCAGCUAACAUAAAGGAGAUUAGUUCUUGUGCUGACUGAUGCAGGAUACACAGAGACAGCUUCGGCUGGCUUUGUAAACUCGAUCUCAAAUCAAGUAAGACUACCCGCUGAACUUAAGCAUAUCAAUAAGCGGAGGAAAAGAAACUAACAAGGAUUCCCCUAGUAACGGCGAGUGAAGCGGGAUGAGCUCAAAUUUAAAAUCUGGCUGGUUUACUAGUCCGAAUUGUAGUUUAAAGAAGCGUUUUCGGUGGCAGCCUGGGUAUAAAUCCUUUGGAACAGGGUAUCAUAGAGGGUGAGAAUCCCGUCUUUGACUCAGUGCAUGCUACUAUGUGAUACGUUUUCAAAGAGUCGAGUUGUUUGGGAAUGCAGCUCGAAAUGGGUGGUAAAUUUCAUCUAAAGCUAAAUAUUGGCGAGAGACCGAUAGCGAACAAGUACCGUGAGGGAAAGAUGAAAAGAACUUUGAAAAGAGAGUUAAGCAGUGCGUGAAAUUGUUGAAAGGGAAACGCUUGAAGU